UACGUAGGCAGCGAGCGUUGUUCGGAAUUACUGGGCGUAAAGAGUGUGUAGGCGGUGCUCUAAGUUCGGUGUGAAAUCUCCUGGCUCAACUGGGAGGGUGCGCCGAAUACUGAAUGACUAGAGUGCGGGAGAGGAGAGUGGAAUUCCUGGUGUAGCGGUGAAAUGCGUAGAUAUCAGGAGGAACACCGGUGGUGUAGGCGGCUCUCUGGACCGUAACUGACGCUGAGGCACGAAAGCGUGGGUAGCAAACAGG
rnacentral:rRNA from 1 species